rnacentral:rRNA from 1 species
CGGAACACGUACACAACCUUCCGAGUAAGUGGGGAAUAGCCCAGAGAAAUUUGGAUUAAUACCCCGUAACAUAUAGAGUAGGCAUCUUCUUUAUAUUAUAGCUUCGGCGCUUAUUGAUGGGUGUGCGUCUGAUUAGGUAGUUGGCGGGGUAACGGCCCACCAAGCCUACGAUCAGUAGCUGAUGUGAGAGCAUGAUCAGCCACACGGGCACUGAGACACGGGCCCG